rnacentral:misc_RNA from 1 species
UCCGGUUUGUCACCGGCAGUCUCCCAUGAGUCCCCGGCUUUACCCGCUGGCAACAUGGGACGGGGGUUGCGCUCGUUGCGGGACUUAACCCAACACCUCACGGCACGAGCUGACGACAGCCAUGCACCACCUGUGAUGGUGUCCCGAAGGAAAACCGUGUUUCCACGGCUGUCACCAACAUGUCAAGCCCAGGUAAGGUUCUUCGCGUCGCAUCGAAUUAAGCCGCAUGCUCCGCCGCUUGUGCGGGCCCCCGUCAAUUCCUUUGAGUUUCAACCUUGCGGCCGUAGUCCCCAGGCGGAUCACUUAAUGCGUUAGCUGCGGCACCGAGGGAAACCCCCCGACACCUAGUGAUCAUCGUUUAGGGCCGAGACUAC